rnacentral:rRNA from 1 species
UACGUAGGGGGCGAGCGUUGUCCGAAGUUACUGGGCGUAAAGCGCGUGUAGGUGGCGAGGCAAGUCGGGUGUGAAAGCCCUGGGCUCAACCCAGGAAGUGCACUCGAUACUGCCUAGCUAGAGUCCCGGAGAGGUUGGUGGAACUCUCGGUGUAGAGGUGAAAUUCGUAGAUAUCGAGAAGAACACCGGUGGCGAAGGCGGCCAACUGGACGGUGACUGACACUGAGACGCGAAAGCGUGGGGAGCAAACAGG